AGUGAACGCUGGCGGUAGGCCUAACACAUGCAAGUCGAACGGCAGCACAGGAGAGCUUGCUCUCUGGGUGGCGAGUGGCGGACGGGUGAGGAAUACAUCGGAAUCUACUUUUUCGUGGGGGAUAACGUAGGGAAACUUACGCUAAUACCGCAUACGACCUACGGGUGAAAGCAGGGGACCUUCGGGCCUUGCGCGAUUGAAUGCGCCGAUGUCGGAUUAGCUAGUUGGCGGGGUAAAGGCCCACCAAGGCGACGAUCCGUAGCUGGUCUGAGAGGAUGAUCGGCCACACUGGAACUGAGACACGGUCCAGACUCCUACGGGAGGCAGCAGUGGGGAAUAUUGGACAAUGGGCGCAAGCCUGAUCCAGCCAUACCGCGUGGGUGAAGAAGGCCUUCGGGUUGUAAAGCCCUUUUGUUGGGAAAGAAAUCCAGCUGGCUAAUACCCGGUUGGGAUGACGGUACCCAGAGAAUAAGCACCGGCUAACUUCGUGCCAGCCGCCGCAGUAA
rnacentral:rRNA from 1 species